rnacentral:tRNA from 1 species
GCCCUGGUGGUCUAGUGGUUAAGGUCUGGCACUCUCACUGCCGUGACCUGGGUUCAUUUCCCAAUCAGGGAA